rnacentral:tRNA from 1 species
GCCGACGUAGCUCAGUCGGUAGAGCAGCUGAUUCGUAAUCAGCAGGUCAGCGGUUCAACUCCGCUCGUCGGCUCCA